AAGUCGUAACAAGGUUUCCGUAGGUGAACCUGCGGAAGGAUCAUUAUCGUAGGGGCUUCGGCCCCCUGUCGAGAUAGGAACCCCUUGCCCUUUUAUGAGUACCGUCCCGUUUCCUCGGCAGGUCCGCCUGCCGAUGGACAAAAAAAUAAACCCCUUUAUCACCUGUAUCAGUCUGAAAAACAAAUAAAAAUUAAAA
rnacentral:misc_RNA from 1 species